GCUCCGGUGGCUUAAGUAGUUAGAGUGUCCGCUUCUGAUGCGGGAGGUCGAGGAUUCGAAUCCUAGCCGAGUCA